rnacentral:lncRNA from 1 species
AUUAUACAGGGAGUGCAGAAUUAUUAGGCAAAUUAGUAUUUUGACCACAUCAUCCUCUUUAUGCAUGUUGUCUUACUCCAAGCUGUAUAGGCUCGAAAUCCUACUACCAAUUAAGCAUAUUAGGUGAUGUGCAUCUCUGUAAUGAGAAGGGGUGUGGUCUAAUGACAUCAACACCCUAUAUCAGGUGUGCAUAAUUAUUAGGCAACUUCCUUUCCUUUGGCAAAAUGGGUCAAAAGAAGGACUUGACAGGCUCAGAAAAGUCAAAAAUAGUGAGAUAUCUUGC